CUCUGAUAUGAAAAUUCAAUUAUUUUAUAACUAGAUCUGGCGCUGCGUUUUGACAGUCGACAGUAGCGCCUUGCCAGCUGCAUCAGUGUGGGGGACCGGAGGCUCCUGAUAGCGGGAGAGAGGCCUUUCAGACAUUGACAUGUUUUUGGGGGGGAACAAGAUUGCCUAAAUGUGUUGCAUUUAAGGCCUGAAAGUUAAUCUAAUGCACCACCAUUAUCUCACCCAGGUAAUUCCAACACCAUCCUCAAUCUGUGUUUACGCUCACGCACGCCGCCACAUACUCGCACAUCCGGCCAUUCACCGCUUUGAAUCUGAUUCCCAGCCUGUCUGCUUCCAAACAGCCCGGGGCGGUGCUCCCCCGUGAACGCCUGCCACGGGAGUCCGGGCACGAGUUCGGGGCUCCCGGUGUGGCUCCUGGGGCCUGCUGACAGCCAGCUGUUGAAGGUGUGACUGACGACGGGAUCGAGGAGCAACAGGACCAGUCAGAGCUCGGUGAGUGUCCUCAAUCUUCUGUCCAGAGUGGGAGGAGGGCUGUGAGGAGAGGAGAGAGAGGGCGGGCGUUCAGACGAGGCUGCGGGGAGAUGUG
rnacentral:lncRNA from 1 species